AGAAGCUAGAGAAAUACCAUC
rnacentral:siRNA from 1 species